AGAGUUUGAUCAUGGCUCAGGAUGAACGCUGGCGGCGUGCUUAACACAUGCAAGUCGAACGAAGCACUUUAUUGGAUUUCCUUCGGGGAUGAAGAUUUUGUGACUGAGUGGCGGACGGGUGAGUAACGCGUGGGUAACCUGCCUCAUACAGGGGGAUAACAGUUGGAAACGACUGCUAAUACCGCAUAAGCGCACGGGACCGCAUGAUCCUGUGUGAAAAACUCCGGUGGUAUGAGAUGGGCCCGCGUCUGAUUAGCUAGUUGGCAGGGCAGCGGCCUACCAAGGCGACGAUCAGUAGCCGACCUGAGAGGGUGACCGGCCACAUUGGGACUGAGACACGGCCCAAACUCCUACGGGAGGCAGCAGUGGGGAAUAUUGCACAAUGGGGGAAACCCUGAUGCAGCGACGCCGCGUGAGCGAAGAAGUAUUUCGGUAUGUAAAGCUCUAUCAGCAGGGAAGAAAAAUGACGGUACCUGACUAAGAAGCACCGGCUAAAUACGUGCCAGCAGCCGCGGUAAUACGUAUGGUGCAAGCGUUAUCCGGAUUUACUGGGUGUAAAGGGAGCGCAGGCGGAAGGCUAAGUCUGAUGUGAAAGCCCGGGGCUCAACCCCGGUACUGCAUUGGAAACUGGUCAUCUAGAGUGUCGGAGGGGUAAGUGGAAUUCCUAGUGUAGCGGUGAAAUGCGUAGAUAUUAGGAGGAACACCAGUGGCGAAGGCGGCUUACUGGACGAUGACUGACGCUGAGGCUCGAAAGCGUGGGGAGCAAACAGGAUUAGAUACCCUGGUAGUCCACGCCGUAA
rnacentral:rRNA from 1 species